GACCGUGAAACGACUCCACGCCGAUGAUAGUGCGGAUUGCCCGUGUGAAAGUAGGUAAUCGUCAGGC
rnacentral:rRNA from 1 species